UGGCUCAGGAUGAACGCUAGCGGCAGGCUUAAUACAUGCAAGGCGAAGGGGCAGCAAUGUCACUGUCGUACGGGUGCGUAACGCGUAUGCAACCUACCUAUCACUGGGGGAUAGCCCGGGGAAACCCGGAUUAAUACCGCAUAAAACAGGGGCACCGCAUGGUGAUAUUUGUUAAAGAUUUAUUGGUGAUAGAUGGGCAUGCGUUCGAUUAGCUAGUUGGCGGGGUAACGGCCCACCAAGGCGACGAUCGAUAGGGGAGCUGAGAGGUUGAUCCCCCACACGGGCACUGAGAUACGGGCCCGACUCCUACGGGAGGCAGCAGUAGGGAAUAUUGGGCAAUGGAUGCAAGUCUGACCCAGCCAUGCCGCGUGCCGGAUGAAGGCCCUCAGGGUUGUAAACGGCUUUUAUUCGGGAAGAAGAGCAGGGAUGCGUCCU
rnacentral:rRNA from 1 species